UGGGGAAUCUUGCGCAAUGGGGGCAACCCUGACGCAGCGACCCCGCGUGCGGGACGAAGGCCUUCGGGUCGUAAACCGCUUUCAGCAGGGACGAGUCAAGACGGUACCUGCAGAAGAAGCCCCGGCUAACUACGUGCCAGCAGCCGCGGUAAUACGUAGGGGGCGAGCGUUAUCCGGAUUCAUUGGGCGUAAAGCGCGCGUAGGCGGCCGCGUAGGCGGGGGGUCAAAUCCCGGGGCUCAACCCCGGUCCGCCCCCCGAACCCCGCGGCUCGGGUCCGGUAGGGGAGGGUGGAAUUCCCGGUGUAGCGGUGGAAUGCGCAGAUAUCGGGAGGAACACCGGUGGCGAAGGCGGCCCUCUGGGCCGAGACCGACGCUGAGGCGCGAAAGCUGGGGGAGCGAACAG
rnacentral:rRNA from 1 species